rnacentral:misc_RNA from 1 species
GGAGCCAAAUUUACUAUCCUUUUCGAAAUGGCCACAGAAGUGGAUUGCGACGCUAUGAAAGCCGAAAACAUCCGUCUACGACACACGUUGUUCGUGAUGGUCACAGAUAGACAGAAAAUGGCGUCCAAAUUAACGGGCGUUCAGAACCUUGGACAACAACUGCAGAAGAAAGAAAUAGAGAAUAGUAAUCUUAGAGAAAAAAUUGAACGGAUAGAAGGUUCUCUGGCGAGAGCAGAGAACAGAAUAACUCAGUUAAGUCUUCAAGCGGGCAACGGCCAACAUUUGAGCGGCCAAACCGCCAUUGUUACGCCAGGAGUUUCAAAGAAGGUUUUAGAAGCAUUAACUCGCGAUAAUACAAGACUAAAACAAGCUCUGGACCACUUAACCAACAGAGGACCAGCCGGGGUUGACUUGGCAGUGGAGAAUAAGGAACUACAUGAAAUAAUCAUGAACCUUAGAGAUGAAAAGAACAUGAAAAGCAAUGAAGUAAAAGAAUUAAAAGCAGCUCUAAGUGCUGCCCAUGAAGGCAACAUUGAAUUAAUGAAAGGCCAAGUGCUGCGCCUCACUGCAUUGGUCACAAAGCUUGAGAGAAACCUCAAUGCCAAACAAGUGUUUUGUGAAACUGUGGUGACAGAGAAUGAUUCAUUGAAGAAUGAAUUACAGUCUCUUAGGGAUGAUAGGGUAACUAGAGUGAGAGAUCUAAAGAGAGGACUGGGCCAACUGUCAACACAGCCAGACGUCCGUAGAAUUUUGAACCAGGUGUAUGAUACUCCAGAUGGAGACCCAGAGGAAUAUGCUUCUUCAGAAGAGCAUACCACGCUCAAAGAGGAGGUUUCAAAAUUAACCAGGGAAUUAGAGGCUAAGGCUGCUGAAAGGGAAGAAUUUAUUGUAGAAUUGAACAGAAGGAAGGAAGAACAGACCCAAUCAAACAAUCUCCACACUGCUCAGCUUAAAUCUUUUGAAGAAGGGCAAGCACAGAUGUUACGACAGCUACAUGCAUUGAGUGAUGAACUUACAGAAGUGAAGAGAGAUCGUGCAGAAAAAGAUAUACAACUUAAAGAUAAUGAGAUGGAACAAGAACUCAUGCGAAAUGCACUUGAAGGCUAUGAAAAUGAUUUUAAGAUGGAAAGACAAGAGAAGGUCAAGGCCUUGUCAGAUCGUGAGCAGGUGUCACGUGAAAGGGAUCAAUUCAAGCAACGUUUCGAACAACUAAAGCAGGAACACAUUGGCUUGAGACAAAACAUUGAGCGAAUGUACUCAGAAGCUCAGAGACAGCAUGCCCAAGGUCAAAACAGACUUCCAACUCCAAGCCGCACAUGUGCAGCUCAAGUUCAGGAACCAUGGCAACAAGUACAUCAAAGUCCAAUGAGAGCUAGAGCUUUUGGAAUGGAAGUGAAGGCUGAUGGACAUGGGCCGGAUGUGACAGACUGCCCAACUUCUCCGCCGAAGGAUGCAAUGCGACGUUUUACCAGCCAAGGAAGUCAGUUGCAGUGUCCCAACUGUAGAAAACUUUUCCCUCAUGAUCUGCUUGAAAAUCACAUGAGAGACUGUACAGGAGAUGAUUAGCAAUGAGUUUAGCUUACACAAGGAAGAUGAGUGUACGAUCUGAAAUGUCUUUGACAGGAAUGGAAUGCUAGCAAGAUUAAAGAAACUGCUAUGAGCAUGUGGCUGACCUACUGGAUGUCUGAAACCACACACUGACUGUUGUGGAUUUGGCGAGAUAGUUGUUAUCAUUUUGCUCGUGUGAUGUAAUUCAAAUACGAAAAUGGUGCAGCCACACAAGGAAAGGGUGAAGAGAGAGACUGGUGUCCUGUGGUACCCGAUGCUUACUGAGGGGAUACAAAACAAUGCCAAGUGUAAGGGAACAAUGCUAUGAAAGUCAAGUUAUGAAAGGGUUUGCUGUUUGAUGCUAGCAUUAUUGCUAUUGCUAGCAAAUAGCUCCCCUUGUUUUCAAGCCAGAUUGAAGAGAGGAAGACACUUUUGGCUUGAAGGAGUUCUGUGAGGCGCAGUUCUUUGUUCAAUGAUAGGAAGUGUGGAAGCAAUUUUUGCAUCUGAUUCACAAUGCAUGGAGUUAUGAUAUCUGCACAAAUGCUUUUGAUCAGUAGAAGAUGCAAAAUGUUUGGAGAAGAAAUGUUCAAAGGGCACUAUUCCACAUCUCCGGCGGGGAAAAAUGAAAAGCUUCUGCAGCGAAAAAGUAACGGAAGAUCGAUCCAGAUUUUAGGAAAAUUUGAGACGUCUUGGCAUUGGGUCACAAACAAGAUCUGAGAGAUGUUGAUGACUUAGCUGUAUACGAAACCCAGCAAAGUAAGUUUAUUGUGCGAAAAGACAUGUGAAUAGCAGCUGUAAUAAUGAGAUGAAAGGCCAUGAGAGGAUAUCAAUACACAGUGGGCCAUUGGCUGGAUUUGGAUGGUCCGGAAAUGCCACAACUACAUGGACUCUUUACAUAAGCACUAGUUCUAAUCGUGAGUUCAAAAGUUAACUCAGAGUGAUUGCUAAUACUUAGUUUUGAAUAAAGACCAACCCGAA